GCAGUGGAAAAUAUUGAUGGGUGAUCCAUACAUCAUCAUUCAAUAUAUUCUUCUUUCACACAUAAUUUUUCCUUGUUCUAAUUUAUUAUGUCUGGUCUUAUGCUUAUGAAAUAUGGCAUUAUCCAACCUUCAAUUUUCCUCAAACCCAGAAUCAAGAAUUCAAAGAAAAUUGAUCAUAGUUUUUACUCGAUUGUCAGUUGCUAUAGAAAAGAGGAAAGAAAGAAAACAGAACGGAAACAGAGUUUCACACACAAAAAGAAAAGAAAAAAAAAAGGAUUAU
rnacentral:misc_RNA from 1 species